AAAAAUAAGAUAAAUAUCUAACUUAAAGCUAAAAACAAAAAUAAAAGAAAAACUGGGAACUCUCAAGCUCUUUGAAGUAGACUAAUCAUCAGAAUCUGAAUGUGUAUCCUUGAAGAACUCCCAGCGCUCCCCUGCGCUGAUAAAUUGUGAUAGCCUUGUGCUCUGAGCUCGGAUCUGAACAUUCUUUUUUACUAUUUGUCGUCUCAGCUUGUGAACCUCAUGCUCUCGUUGCUCUAUCUCACCACUCAUAGUUUCCAUCUUGAGCAUAGCUUCAUCAUACUUCCUUUUCCAGGUAGCACCCACACAUUCCGAUCGGGCCAACUUCUCUUGACAUUCCUCCACAGUUGCGGGGGCCAAGGGUAAAGCCGGCGCUGGGGUUGUUGAAGAUAGGUACCUCGGCAAAUGAUAGGGUAAGACCA
rnacentral:lncRNA from 1 species